UGGGGAAUCUUGGACAAUGGGGGCAACCCUGAUCCAGCGACGCCGCGUGGGUGGUAAGGCCUUCGGGUUGUAAAGCCCUUUCAGCGGGGAAGAUGAUGACAUUACCCGCAGAAGAAGCGCCGGCUAACUCCGUGCCAGCAGCCGCGGUAAGACGGAGGGCGCUAGCGUUGUUCGGAAUCACUGGGCGUAAAGGGCGCGUAGGCGGCUGCUUAAGUCGAGGGUGAAAGCCCGGGGCUCAACCUCGGAACGGCCUUCGAGACUGGGCGGCUAGAGACCGGAAGAGGAGGGUGGAAUACCCAGUGUAGAGGUGAAAUUCGUAGAUAUUGGGUGGAACACCAGUGGCGAAAGCGGCUCUCUGGUCCGGAUCUGACGCUGAGGCGCGAAAGCGUGGGGAGCAAACAGGAUUAGAUACCCCCGUAGUCC
rnacentral:rRNA from 1 species